GCAUGGACGAAAGUCUGACGGAGCAACGCCGCGUGAGUGACGAAGGCCUUCGGGUCGUAAAGCUCUGUUGUUAGGGAAGAACAAGUACCGUUCGAAUAGGGCGGUACCUUGACGGUACCUAACCAGAAAGCCACGGCUAACUACGUGCCAGCAGCCGCGGUAAUACGUAGGUGGCAAGCGUUGUCCGGAAUUAUUGGGCGUAAAGCGCGCGCAGGCGGUCUCUUAAGUCUGAUGUGAAAGCCCACGGCUCAACCGUGGAGGGCCAUUGGAAACUGGGGGACUUGAGUGCAGAAGAGGAGAGUGGAAUUCCACGUGUAGCGGUGAAAUGCGUAGAUAUGUGGAGGAACACCAGUGGCGAAGGCGGCUCUCUGGUCUGUAACUGACGCUGAGGCGCGAAAGCGUGGGGAGCAAACAGGAUUAGAUACCCUGGUAGUCCACGCCGUAAACGAUGAGUGCUAGGUGUUGGGGGGUUCCACCCUCAGUGCUGAAGUUAACACAUUAAGCACUCCGCCUGGGGAGUACGACCGCAAGGUUGAAACUCAAAGGAAUUGACGGGGGCCCGCACAAGCAGUGGAGCAUGUG
rnacentral:rRNA from 1 species